rnacentral:rRNA from 1 species
UACGAGUGCCUCAAGCGUUAUCCGGAAUUACUGGGCGUAAAGCGUGCGCAGGCGGCUUUGCAAGCCAGAUGUGAAAUCCCCGGGCUUAACCUGGGAACUGCAUUUGUGACUGCAAGGCUAGAGUACGGUAGAGGGGGAUGGAAUUCCGCGUGUAGCAGUGAAAUGCGUAGAUAUGCGGAGGAACACCGAUGGCGAAGGCAAUCCCCUGGACCUGUACUGACGCUCAUGCACGAAAGCGUGGGGAGCAAACAGG